CCUACGGGUGGCAGCAGUGAGGAAUAUUGGUCAAUGGCCGAGAGUCUGAACCAGCCAAGUAGCGUGAAGGAUGACUGUCCUAAGGGUUGUAAACUUCUUUUAUAAAGGAACAAAACGAGGCACGUGUGCCUUUUUGCAUGUACUUUAUGAAAAAGCAUCGGCUAACUCCGUGCCAGCAGCCGCGGUAAUACGGAGGAUCCGAGCGUUAUCCGGAUUUAUUGGGUUUAAAGGGAGCGUAGGGGGGUUGUUAAGUCAGUUGUGAAAGGUUGGGGGUCAACCGUAAAAUUGCAAUUGAUACUGGCAGUCUUGAGAACACGUGAGGUAGGCGGAAUGCGUGGUGUAGCGGUGAAAUGCUUAGAUAUCGCGAAGAACCCCGAUUGCGAAGGCAGCUUACUAAACUGUGACUGACAUUGAUGCACGAAAGUGUGGGUAUCAAACAGGAUUAGAUACCCCUGUAGUC
rnacentral:rRNA from 1 species